rnacentral:RNase_P_RNA from 1 species
GCGGAGGGCCGGAUGGCCGCGGCCGAGAGGCCGAGGAAAGUCCGGACUCCUGGAAGCGACGGUGCCGGGUAACGCCCGGGCGGAGAAAUCCGACGGAAAGCGCCGCAGAAAACAGACCGCCCGCGGUGCGCCGCGGGCAAGGGUGAAACGGUGGGGUAAGAGCCCACCGGGCCGCCGGCAACGGGGGCCGCACGGCAAGCCCCACCGGGAGCAAUGCCGAAUAGGGACCUCGCGCGGAGCUUCGGCUCUGCAGGGCAGCUUCCGCCCGAGAGGUCCGGGUUGGCAGCGUGAGCGCCGGAGCGAUCCGGCGCCCAGACGAAUGGCCAUCCAGGGGGCGAAAGCCCCCGGACAGAAUCCGGCUUACAGGCCCUCCGCGCAU